CUCAAUAGUACAUUAAAAACAAUAUAGGUGGUUCUAAUGACUAUAUUGAAACGUUGAGGACCAAAGUGACAUUAAACUGCACACGCGGGAAUUUUCAAGUCUAUAUAUAUGGUCCUUCUCGUUCAACUGUAAAGAGUCAUUUUCCCAAUAUUGUCUUUCUCCCCCUCUUUCUCUCUUCUUUUUUCUUCUUUUUUUAUGAUGGAUUUUACUACUGCGAUUACAAAAUUUGACUAUGAUACCUUGCUUCUUAGAUUCUUUAGGGAUUUAUGUUGGAGAAUUUAAUUUCUUGAUGUUUCUUGAUUGGAAUUUAACAGUGUUAUUGAUAUUGUUCUACAAUGUCUGUAUGAUUCUUUCACCAGCAUUCUACAAUGUCUUUUCUGUAGUGAAGAAUGUAUGGUACCUAUAGUUGUCUGAGGGAUGUUUUGGUAAACUACUUUUAGGUUUUUUCUCUAGGGUUGUAAUUGUUUGGGAAAUCUGUGAUGGUGAAGUACUUGAUUAAGAUCAAAUAUUUUUCUGGGUUCUUCAAGCAACCUUUCUCUUCUUCUUUUUUCGAUGGAUUUUCGUACUGCUAUUUCAAGAAUUUGACUUGUUGAUAUUUCUUGAUUGGGAUCCAACCGUGCAAUUGAUAUUGUUUUGCUUUAGUGGUUGAUUAUUGUUUGAAUUUACAAUAUCUGUGAAUUUUUAUUAAAAUUCUACAAAGUCUUUUCUUUAGUGAAGAAUGUACGGUACCUAUAGUUGUCUGAUGGAUGUUUUGAUAACUACUUUUAGACUUUUCUCUAGGGUUGUAAUUGUUUGUAAAACCUGUAAUGGUGAAGUACUCGGAUCAAAUAGAUUUCUGGUUCUACCAACAGUUGAAUGCCUGCUAUAAGAUUGGAUGAUACUAUUUUUGUUUUAAAUAAUCAGUGUGUGUGUUGCGGUCGUCACAGUAAGCUUCCUUUCUUCUCUUUCUUCUUCUUUUUUUUAUGGAUUUUCAUACUGCUAUUUCAAGAUUUCAUAUGAUGCCUACUGUAUUUUAAUUGUCUUAGGUUCUUUAGGGCUUUAUGUUAAAGAAGAAUCUGACUUCUUGAUGUUUCUUGAUUGGCAUUCAACAAUGUAAUGUUUUGCUUUAGUGGUUUAUUAUGUUCAAGUUAUAGUGCCUAUGUGAAUUUUCCACUUUGAUGGUUGUUUUCUUCUUUGGCAGUGCCUAUGCCUAAUUCUAGUGCUAAUAUGCAAGAGGAGUUUCAGUGGUACUAUUUCCAGUGCUUUUACAACCAACCAGUUUGAAGAAAGCAAAUGUGUUCCUGUCCAAAGGGGGUCUUGCAUUCUGUGGAAGAAUCUGCUGAGAAUCACCCUUGUGCAUCCCACAGUGUCUCCUUCAAGAUUGUUGUUAUUGAAAGUGAGGAUGACCUGCUUUGCGCACGUGAUUCUCCUUCUCUGUUGCCACUAUUGUUCAGUGGGUUAGGGAUUCAUCUGGGUUUCCUUAACAAAUUGAAUGCAAGUGAUGGUUCAUUCAAGCUCUUUGGAUACAUCUCAGGUCCUGAUGUUUACACAGUGAAGGUAUGCAGGUCCAUAUUGAGGGAUAAGAGAUGUGAAGAGAGUCUUAAGGAUUAUUUGAUACCGUGAGCUAUGCUCUUCUCUAGGGUAGAUAGGGACUCACAUAAAUUUAUUGAUGCUGGAAAUCGAGGUAAAACGCAUGAGCUUAUAAGGAAGAAGAAGAGUAGAAGAAAUCAUUCAGCUCCUCCAUGUUACCAAGGCAAGAAUAAGUUCUUUGCCAUGAGUGGUCUACAAGAACGGCAGCAGGAAAUCACAGUAUUAAGAUUAUUCAUGAUGUGCCCACUCAUGCCUUCGUUAUUUGUCCUUGAGUGCUUGUUUGUGUUAUUAAUCAUUGAUGACAGAAAACGUGUGCAACUAAUUAAUGUUCUUUUCCAUCAUGCAGAAACUAGAGCAGUAAGUAGACUGCAUCAUUCUGCUGGGAGCUUCCACAGCAGUCAUCCCAUUAAUGAAAGAAUUUGUACCAACAAAAUUAGAAGUUUUUAGAUUCUGGGAUAAAAUGGAGGGACUUCCAGGGAUUACAGUUGAGUACCUUAGCUAUAUGUUGGAUGUUUUUGCUUCUUCUCUAUUUUAUUAAGAUGAUGAACUUUACCUUUUCCUAUUGAGAUGCAGAACAGUGCUGGAACAGAGAAUCUUAAUAAUCAGUAUACUGUACUCAGUGUCACUUUUGGCGUCUUGCAUUUUGUUAGCGAUUCAUUGACUCCUGAUACCAUUGAUAAAAACUGCCUGGCGGGUGCCAAAGUUCUCAAACAGGUAUCUAUUGCUAUGGCAUUGGAACCUGCUAUGUUAAGGUGGAUAACAAUGGAUCUGGUGUUUCACGAGAUGGAUUGGUGCUGAUGGGAUAAAGAUAUGCAACAUCAAAAUACAGCCAUUCAGAUGAUAUGCAAGCUUUGGUUUUAAAAGAGAGGCUUUGAGCUCCAUUCUCUUCAUCAAAAUCCUUGUCUCUUCAUCUUCUCUAAGUCUGCGUGCACAACUUCGAGAAUUCUUUCCCAUGGAUGAAAUUCCAUUCAGCACAACAACCUCUCCAUGAAAUGCUAAAUCAAGCAACGACCAAGCUUAGCCGAAUUUCAGAACCAUUAAACUGAUGCAUACCCUUUGUUGGAUUCUCGAGUUUAUUGUGUUAUAGUGGACGAGUCCACUUGAGCUUUGCAUUGCUUCUCGUUGGCGGAGACUCCUUAGCAAGGAAGCUGGAGCUGCUUAUGCUUUUUUGAUCUCUUCCAUUGUUAAAGGUGAAGGUAAGAGCUGAAUUAUCAGAGAUAAUACAGCCAAUAUGAUGUGACUAUGAUUGACAGAAUUAAUACUGGAGAAAUAAUCUUUUCUCUUGCUAUUUGGUGAAGUACAAAGGUAUAUGUCAUUUUAUAUCUCAGACUUUUCUUACACUUGGAAUCAGUUUUUGUUUACUGUUCACAGAAUCACCUUUUAGCAGUAAUUUAUUUUAUUGAAACUGGUCAACUCAAUUUAAUCGAUACAAUAAUUGUGUGUCUAAAAGAAGUUACAUAGGGAAUUUAUAUGAAUCAGCGAGCCUUUCCCCUUUUUACGAAACUAAGUUGUUUUGUUUCUAUUACAGCCAGAUUUUUACCUGUCAAUUGUAUGCUAUGUAUCUUUGAGAAAAUUGUAUCUUAUUCACAAUAAUAAGUUUUCUGAAGCCAAUGUGAAAUCGAAACACACUGACGAGAAGCUAAGUUUCCAUGGCAGUCUGGCUUGUCCUAUCAAUUGCAUUUCCAAUUUGAUUUUAUGCUCUCCUUUUUUCUGCCGGAGUUCAAUAUGUUUAUGUAUUUUUUUCAUAUCACCUCUUCCAAUGGAUUUAUUAGCAUUGUGAAUUUCCAGGGUGACUGUCUUUUGCAACGUAAAGGUGUGGACAUGAUUUUCUUGUAAAAUCAUUUUAAUAUCAACGUUGUAAGUGGGCUAAUAUCUCCUGACAUGCAUUCGUAUGUGAAAUACUUGUGUAUCUACAGGUAUAUGUCAUGCUUGGAGUUUGUCUUUUAGAUACUUUGAUAGAACCACAGUACAUGUGAACUUUCCUUUUGUUGAUAUCUGUAUAUUUGAAUGAAAGAUGCUUUAGUAUAUUUUCUCUACUUCUUUUACCCCAAUUUAGAUGACCUAGUCAAUGGUGUUUUAGAUUUGGUCACAUUGUGAUGGUAGAUUGUGUCAGAUCUCAGGUUGGUAGUGCUGACAUUAUCAAUAGGUAUCGAUUGCUCAUUGGUUGUAUUAGGUGGUUCAUUUGACCGGGGGGGGGGGGGUAUCUGGUGGAGAUUGGUGCUGACCUUGGAGGUUGUACAAAGGAUCUACCAUUAGCAUAGUAGAUCUUAGUGGGAAGGCAGGGAAAAAUAGGUAGAAAGAUAUAGACGUUAAAUUAAAAUGUUGAUUUCCUGAUUCCUGGCCUAAAAUCAAUUCAUGGGAACUUUUUAGCCCAAUUCCUGCUUUGAAAAUUUCUAGUGUUUGACAUCUUUCAAAAUUGCAGUUAUGAAAGGGCUGAGAUCCAAACUUUGUAAUGUUGACACCGACCAAGGAGCACUUGGCAGAAGGAAUAAACUGGAGAGUUGGGAAGAGACCACCGACUUGUCACUUCCAAUCAUGGUAAUACCGUUAUGAGGGAAUAACUAAAGAAAGUAAAUCACAUUACACCUCUUCAUGAUUUUGCAGCCAUGCUGAGAAGUAGCUAGUUUAAUACUUUGUUCAUUUCGAAUUAGGUACCACUUGAAACUAAUAACCUUAUGAGUCUAGAUUCAGUAAGUUUCACUGUCCUUUGUUUUAUGGUGGUUUUAUGUACAAUCUGAUAACAUCCUUUGAAUCUAAUGUUAUCAUCAUCUGCAGGUACAAAAAUUAUAUUCGCAUGUGUGCGGAGAUCACAUAGAGAUAAAUGUAGCUUUUGGUAUUAUAAAAUGUUUUACAUCCUUAUUCUGUCCUCGUAUGGUAACAUCAUGGCCUUUUGGUCGUCUUGCAGUUGAACAUUCUCAUCUAUAACUAAUAUUGGAGCUUCCUCCUUAUUGUUUGACAAUAGCAUCUUUGUGUAUGACUUCACUGCUUGAUAUAAGAUGUUCUGCCAACUUCCGUUGCAAGCCAUCAACACUUAUCUCAAAUCUACAUUUUGCUUCCUCACAAUACUUGCAAGUACAUACUAGAUCCACCCAAUCUGUUGGUAUUCUGUCAUGGCCUCACCAAUUUUAUUGUGCUACUUUUUCCCUACAACAACUUGAGAGUAGAAGACAGUUUAACAGAUCAUUAUCGUAAUAGUAGAAGUGAUGGUUUGUUCUGUCUGGAUAAUUACAAGUCAGAGCUGUAGCACAUGGCUUAUGAUAUCACCGCCUGCUUAUGGGAAGUUCUGUCUCUUCAAUUGUGAGCCAUUAAUACUUACCAUGUAUAUUCUUACUCCUUGCCGUUAUUUUACUCGUCUCUUCACUCACACAUGUUUCUGCUUUUCUGUAUUGUUCUCCUAGAACACCUAUGCUAUAGAGUUGUGCAAAAUUUGUUUUCAAGAUAGGUGCUCCAGGGAUGACAACUGUUGCUGAAAGUUAUGAACAAGUUAUUGGCAUAACUAUGAAGAUAUAUACCCCUUUCAAAUAUUUGCUUCAUGACGAAAAGUUAUGCUAGCCCUUUCCUUAGCAUUCCCUUCUUAAUUUAUUUACUUUUUUUCUCUUUCCAUGUUUGAUUAAGCUUUUUCACUCACUUUUGAUUGUAUUGGUAUGUGUUGUUUUCUUAGGAAUAAAGGUGCCAGAAUUCAGCAAAAAAUUGCUGUCAAGGAAAGAAAAGAAAACUUCAGCGUACAAACUGCGAUUUUAAGAAACAGGUCGCUGCAAGUAGUACAAUCAUGGCGAAGUUAGAUAGAUUGCCAUUUCAGGUGUUGACUUUCCCGGAGAAAGUUACCCAUCCUUCUCCCUUCAAUAUCCGUGCUUUUAUUUACCUUUUGUCUCAUUGUUUCCUUUUUGUCUUUCCGUGGUCAAUUAAGCUUCACUAACAGUCGAUUUUACUGGCGUCUGUUAUUCCCCUGGAAUUCCUGUGCUAGUUCGUAUGUUCUAGUAGUAGUACGGACAUUGAGAAAAGCUUAAGAAAGGCAUUUGGAGGAAGCUCUUCAAACUGUGAAGAACGAGGAGGCUGGCGACAAGCCCAUGGAUGUGGCUUGAACCCGAUGUGAAAUGUGAAAACAUGUACAAUAAAGUAGGUUUUCCAUGUCAGUCAGGUAUGUCAUAUUACAGUUUUUCAGGUGGAGUUCAAUUUCUUUCUAUCUUUUGUCACAUUUCCUCUUCAGCUGGAUUCAAUUGCAGCAUAAAUUUUCCAGAUUUCUAAAUCAUUCCUUGCCUUAGACAAGAAGCUGAAUUUCCUUGGUAGUCAGGUGUGUCCUAUCAUGCUUUUUCUGGUGGAAUUCAAUAUCUUCCUUUUUUUCUGAUUUCCUCAUCUGCUGGAUGAUUGUUACUCGUUGUACUAGAAUGUUAGUUUAAGUGCGACUUUUUGUUUUGAUUUCCACUUAAAUAUUUAUUUUAUCAUAAUUUUUAAAAUUUUCUACCAUUUAAAGAAAAAUAAAAAAUCUCCUUCAGAUUCACUUAUGCCUGAGGUAUAAGCAAGUCAGUGAUGUAUUUGAAUUUUCCUAUUCCCUCUAUGAUAUAUCUCUCCCCUCUCGGACACAUCCUUUGCCGGUGUAUCUGGAAGUCUAGUGAUGCAUCCGAAAUCCAUAGGAAAUAAUGUAAUUAGCUCUUAACACUAUGAGAUUUAUGUAAAUCAUACUAAAUUUUAUUGUAUCGUUUAAAUUCAUUAUUAAGUAACAACAAAAAGAUUAAUUUUGUGUAAUGACCGAUUUCAUGUGAUUGCAUUGUUAUUUUAAUAUUUUCUUCUCAUUUUGUCUUUAUUUUACAUUUACCCUAUCUUUUCAUAGUAACGCUACUCUAUACCUUAAUGCUUUUUU